rnacentral:rRNA from 1 species
GACGAACGCUGGCGGCGUGCUUAACACAUGCAAGUCGAACGGAGUGGCGAACGGGGGAGUAAAACGCGGGGGACCUGCCCUGCACUCCGGGAUAAGCCAGGGAAACUGGGGCUAAUACAGGACAGUGAGGGAUGGGCACGCGGCCUAUAAGAUUGUUGGUGGGGGAAUGGACUACCAAGGCGGCGACGGGUGGCCGGCCUGAGAGGGUGGACGGCCACAUUGGGACUGAGACACGUCCCAGACUCCUACGGGAGGCAGCAGUGGGGAAUAUUGCCCGAUGGGCGGAAGCCUGAUGCAGCGCCGCCGCGUGGGAGAUGUCUGUCUUCGGGUUGUAAACUCCUUUCUCCGUCGACGCGGUAGAUGAAUAGGAAGCACCGGCUAACUACGUGCCAGCAGCCGCGGUAAUAC